rnacentral:rRNA from 1 species
UGGGGAAUAUUGGGCAAUGGAGGAAACUCUGACCCAGCAACGCCGCGUGGAGGAAGAAGGUUUUCGGAUCGUAAACUCCUGUCCUUGGAGACGAGUAGAAGACGGUAUCCAAGGAGGAAGCCCCGGCUAACUACGUGCCAGCAGCCGCGGUAAUACGUAGGGGGCAAGCGUUGUCCGGAAUAAUUGGGCGUAAAGGGCGCGUAGGCGGCUCGGUAAGUCUGGAGUGAAAGUCCUGCUUUUAAGGUGGGAAUUGCUUUGGAUACUGUCGGGCUUGAGUGCAGGAGAGGUUAGUGGAAUUCCCAGUGUAGCGGUGAAAUGCGUAGAGAUUGGGAGGAACACCAGUGGCGAAGGCGACUAACUGGACUGUAACUGACGCUGAGGCGCGAAAGUGUGGGGAGCAAACAGG